AGCGAACGCUGGCGGCAGGCCUAACACAUGCAAGUCGAACGGACCCUUCGGGGUUGGUGGCGGACGGGUGAGUAACACGUGGGAACGUGCCUUUAGGUUCGGAAUAGCUCCUGGAAACGGGUGGUAAUGCCGAAUGUGCCCUUCGGGGGAAAGAUUUAUCGCCUUUAGAGCGGUCCGCGUCUGAUUAGCUAGUUGGUGAGGUAAAGGCUCACCAAGGCGACGAUCAGUAGCUGGUCUGAGAGGAUGACCAGCCACAUUGGGACUGAGACACGGCCCAAACUCCUACGGGAGGCAGCAGUGGGGCAACUUGCGCAAUGGGCGAAAGCCUGACGCAGCCAUGCCGCGUGAAUGAUCAAGGUCUUAGGAUUGUAAAAUAAGGGCACCGGGGACGAUAAUGACGGUACCCGGAGAAGAAGCCCCGGCUAACUUCGUGCCAGCCGCCGCUGUAACAC
rnacentral:rRNA from 1 species